rnacentral:rRNA from 1 species
CCUACGGGAGGCAGCAGUAAGGAAUCUUGCGCAAUGGGCGAAAGCCUGACGCAGCGACGCCGCGUGGGCGAUGAAGGCCUUCGGGUUGUAAAGCUCUGUCAGAGGGGAAGAAAUGCAGGUGGUGAACAACCAUUCUGUUUGACGGUACCCUCAAAGGAAGCACCGGCUAACUCCGUGCCAGCAGCCGCGGUAAUACGGAGGGUGCGAGCGUUGUUCGGAAUUAUUGGGCGUAAAGCGCGUGUAGGCGGUUUGUUAAGUCUGAGGUAAAAGCCCCGGGCUCAACCUGGAAAGUGCAUUGGAUACUGGCAGACUUGAGUACGGGAGAGGAGAGUGGAAUUCCCAGUGUAGGAGUGAAAUCCGUAGAUAUUGGGAGGACCACCGGUGGCGAAGGCGGCUCUC